AGAAUCAACGCUGGCGGCGUGCCUAACACAUGCAAGUCGCACGAGAAAGGGGAGCAAUCCCUGAGUACAGUGGCGCACGGGUGAGUAACACGUGAAUCAUCUACCUCCGAGUGGGGAAUAACUGAGAGAAAUCUUAGCUAAUACCGCAUAACACUUACGAGUCAAAGCAGCAAUGCGCUUGGAGAGGAGUUCGCGGCAGAUUAGUUAGUUGGCAGGGUAAUGGCCCACCAAGACGAUGAUCUGUAUCCGGCCUGAGAGGGCGCACGGACACACUGGAACUGAAACACGGUCCAGACUCCUACGGGAGGCAGCAGUGGGGAAUUUGCGCAAUGGGGGAAACCCUGACGCAGCAACGCCGCGUGGAGGAUGAAGCCCCUUGGGGUGUAAACUCCUUUCGAUCGGGAAGAUAAUGACGGUACCGAUAUAAGAAGCCCCGGCUAACUUCGUGCCAGCAGCCGCGGUAA
rnacentral:rRNA from 1 species